rnacentral:ncRNA from 19 species
UAACUUCGGCACAGUUUUGGUGCCCUCCAGACGGCUGUCUGGCUGUGGUGAAAAGGGAAUCAGGUGCAAAUCCUGAACAGAUCCGCUGCUGUGUACAUUUAUUAACUUUAGGUAACUACAUAAACCACUGUUUUUUACAAGAAAUGGGAAGGAUGUAUCUAGAGGAAUGUGAGUCAGAAGACCUGCCAAAAUAAUUGGUUUUUAA